GACAGAGGGUGCAAACGUUGUUCGGAAUUACUGGGCGUAAAGCGCGUGUAGGCGGCUUGGCAAGUCGGGUGUGAAAGCCCUGGGCUCAACCUAGGAAGUGCACUCGAAACUGCGGAGCUGGAGCCUGGAGAGGAAGGCGGAAUUCGUCGGUGUAGAGGUGAAAUUCGUAGAUAUCAGAAGGAACACCAAUGGCGAAGGCGGCCAUCUGGACGUUCACUGACGCUGAGACGCGAAAGCGUGGGA
rnacentral:rRNA from 1 species